UUAAGCGACUAAGCGUACACGGUGGAUGCCCUGGCAGUCAGAGGCGAUGAAGGACGUGCUAAUCUGCGAUAAGCGUCGGUGAGGUGAUAUGAACCGUUAUAACCGGCGAUUUCCGAAUGGGGAAACCCAGUGUGUUUCGACACACUAUCAUUAACUGAAUCCAUAGGUUAAUGAGGCGAACCGGGGGAACUGAAACAUCUAAGUACCCCGAGGAAAAGAAAUCAACCGAGAUUCCCCCAGUAGCGGCGAGCGAACGGGGAGGAGCCCAGAGCCUGAAUCAGUGUGUGUGUUAGUGGAAGCGUCUGGAAAGGCGCGCGAUACAGGGUGACAGCCCCGUACACAAAAAUGCACAUAUUGUGAGCUCGAUGAGUAGGGCGGGACACGUGGUAUCCUGUCUGAAUAUGGGGGGACCAUCCUCCAAGGCUAAAUACUCCUGACUGACCGAUAGUGAACCAGUACCGUGAGGGAAAGGCGAAAAGAACCCCGGCGAGGGGAGUGAAAAAGAACCUGAAACCGUGUACGUACAAGCAGUGGGAGCCUCUUAAUGGGGUGACUGCGUACCUUUUGUAUAAUGGGUCAGCGACUUAUAUUCUGUAGCAAGGUUAACCGAAUAGGGGAGCCGAAGGGAAACCGAGUCUUAACUGGGCGUUAAGUUGCAGGGUAUAGACCCGAAACCCGGUGAUCUAGCCAUGGGCAGGUUGAAGGUUGGGUAACACUAACUGGAGGACCGAACCGACUAAUGUUGAAAAAUUAGCGGAUGACUUGUGGCUGGGGGUGAAAGGCCAAUCAAACCGGGAGAUAGCUGGUUCUCCCCGAAAGCUAUUUAGGUAGCGCCUCGUGAAUUCAUCUCCGGGGGUAGAGCACUGUUUCGGCAAGGGGGUCAUCCCGACUUACCAACCCGAUGCAAACUGCGAAUACCGGAGAAUGUUAUCACGGGAGACACACGGCGGGUGCUAACGUCCGUCGUGAAGAGGGAAACAACCCAGACCGCCAGCUAAGGUCCCAAAGUCAUGGUUAAGUGGGAAACGAUGUGGGAAGGCCCAGACAGCCAGGAUGUUGGCUUAGAAGCAGCCAUCAUUUAAAGAAAGCGUAAUAGCUCACUGGUCGAGUCGGCCUGCGCGGAAGAUGUAACGGGGCUAAACCAUGCACCGAAGCUGCGGCAGCGACACUGUGUGUUGUUGGGUAGGGGAGCGUUCUGUAAGCCUGUGAAGGUGGCCUGUGAGGGUUGCUGGAGGUAUCAGAAGUGCGAAUGCUGACAUAAGUAACGAUAAAGCGGGUGAAAAGCCCGCUCGCCGGAAGACCAAGGGUUCCUGUCCAACGUUAAUCGGGGCAGGGUGAGUCGACCCCUAAGGCGAGGCCGAAAGGCGUAGUCGAUGGGAAACAGGUUAAUAUUCCUGUACUUGGUGUUACUGCGAAGGGGGGACGGAGAAGGCUAUGUUGGCCGGGCGACGGUUGUCCCGGUUUAAGCGUGUAGGCUGGUUUUCCAGGCAAAUCCGGAAAACCAAGGCUGAGGCGUGAUGACGAGGCACUACGGUGCUGAAGCGACAAAUGCCCUGCUUCCAGGAAAAGCCUCUAAGCAUCAGGUAACAUCAAAUCGUACCCCAAACCGACACAGGUGGUCAGGUAGAGAAUACCAAGGCGCUUGAGAGAACUCGGGUGAAGGAACUAGGCAAAAUGGUGCCGUAACUUCGGGAGAAGGCACGCUGAUAUGUAGGUGAAGCGACUUGCUCGUGGAGCUGAAAUCAGUCGAAGAUACCAGCUGGCUGCAACUGUUUAUUAAAAACACAGCACUGUGCAAACACGAAAGUGGACGUAUACGGUGUGACGCCUGCCCGGUGCCGGAAGGUUAAUUGAUGGGGUUAGCGGUAACGCGAAGCUCUUGAUCGAAGCCCCGGUAAACGGCGGCCGUAACUAUAACGGUCCUAAGGUAGCGAAAUUCCUUGUCGGGUAAGUUCCGACCUGCACGAAUGGCGUAAUGAUGGCCAGGCUGUCUCCACCCGAGACUCAGUGAAAUUGAACUCGCUGUGAAGAUGCAGUGUACCCGCGGCAAGACGGAAAGACCCCGUGAACCUUUACUAUAGCUUGACACUGAACAUUGAGCCUUGAUGUGUAGGAUAGGUGGGAGGCUUUGAAGUGUGGACGCCAGUCUGCAUGGAGCCGACCUUGAAAUACCACCCUUUAAUGUUUGAUGUUCUAACGUGGGCCCCUAAUCGGGGUUGCGGACAGUGUCUGGUGGGUAGUUUGACUGGGGCGGUCUCCUCCUAAAGAGUAACGGAGGAGCACGAAGGUUGGCUAAUCCUGGUCGGACAUCAGGAGGUUAGUGCAAUGGCAUAAGCCAGCUUGACUGCGAGCGUGACGGCGCGAGCAGGUGCGAAAGCAGGUCAUAGUGAUCCGGUGGUUCUGAAUGGAAGGGCCAUCGCUCAACGGAUAAAAGGUACUCCGGGGAUAACAGGCUGAUACCGCCCAAGAGUUCAUAUCGACGGCGGUGUUUGGCACCUCGAUGUCGGCUCAUCACAUCCUGGGGCUGAAGUAGGUCCCAAGGGUAUGGCUGUUCGCCAUUUAAAGUGGUACGCGAGCUGGGUUUAGAACGUCGUGAGACAGUUCGGUCCCUAUCUGCCGUGGGCGCUGGAGAACUGAGGGGGGCUGCUCCUAGUACGAGAGGACCGGAGUGGACGCAUCACUGGUGUUCGGGUUGUCAUGCCAAUGGCACUGCCCGGUAGCUAAAUGCGGAAGAGAUAAGUGCUGAAAGCAUCUAAGCACGAAACUUGCCCCGAGAUGAGUUCUCCCUGAGACUUAGAGUCUCCUGAAGGAACGUUGAAGACGACGACGUUGAUAGGCCGGGUGUGUAAGCGCAGCGAUGCGUUGAGCUAACCGGUACUAAUGAACCGUGAGGCUUAACCUU
rnacentral:rRNA from 1 species